CGGAGUGUGGCGCAGCCUGGUAGCGCACCUGCUUCGGGAGCAGGGGGCCGGAGGUUCGAAUCCUCUCACUCCGACCA
rnacentral:tRNA from 1 species